UAAGUUCCUUGGAACAGGACGUCAUAGAGGGUGAGAAUCCCGUAUGUGAUGGGUUGCGCGAGCCAUGUGAAACUCCUUCGACGAGUCGAGUUGUUUGGGAAUGCAGCUCUAAAUGGGAGGUAAAUUUCUUCUAAAGCUAAAUACCGGCCAGAGACCGAUAGCGCACAAGUAGAGUGAUCGAAAGAUGAAAAGCACUUUGGAAAGAGAGUUAAAAAGUACGUGAAAUUGUUGAAAGGGAAGCGCUUGCAACCAGACUUGCUCGCAGUUGCUCAACCCGCCUCCUGGUGGGUGUACUCUUCUGCGGUCAGGCCAGCAUCAGUUCGAGCGGUCGGAUAAAGGCGCCGGGAAUGUAGCUCCUCUCGGGGAGUGUUAUAGCCCGGCGUGGAAUGCGACCUGCUCGGACUGAGGAUCUCGCUUCGGCUAGGAUGCUGGCGUAAUGGUUGUAAGCGGCCCGUCUUGAAACACGGACCAAGGAGUCUAACAUCUAUGCGAGUGUUUGGGUGUCAAACCCAUGCGCGUAAUGAAAGUGAACGGAGGUGGGAACCCGCAAGGGCGCACCAUCGACCGAUCCUGAUGUCUUCGGAUGGAUUUGAGUAUGAGCAUAGCUGUUGGGACCCGAAAGAUGGUGAACUAUGCCUGAAUAGGGUGAAGUCAGAGGAAACUCUGAUGGAGGCUCGCAGCGGUUCUGACGUGCAAAUCGAUCGUCAAAUUUGGGUAUA
rnacentral:rRNA from 1 species